rnacentral:lncRNA from 1 species
UGUCGUGCUCAUCCUUACACUGUUGCUGUUGGGACUCGAUAUGUGAAUAAUAUGGUUGGGAUAGGGUGGCCUCAAAAUCAUCAUAUCUCUCAUUUUCUCUUAGACCCCCUUCCCACUCUCCCUCAUUAGGUGCAAUAUCACCGACAUAUUGUGGAUAUAUUGGCUGGCUGCUUCCUCUUUCAUGCUGCUCAUCACUUUCUUCAAUAUCUUCAUCAUCGAUAGCCUCAAGGAACGCUCUCUUGUGCAACACUGGCUCCUCCUCUUCUACUACCCAUUGGUCUGCUGUGUCUGUGACAAAUAUUGUGUCUAAGUCUAUCGGCCCAUAGUCUUCAAGCUUCCUUCUUAUUUAUCGCUCUCUGAGGUUUAAAUUAUAAUGAACGUACACUAGUUUAUGAAGCUUCUCAGAAGCGAGUCGAUUCCUCCUAGUAGUGUGCAACCAUUGGAACGUACUUCAGUUGCGCUCACAGCCAGUAGCAGAACAUGUUUGGGAGAGCACCUUGAUUGCUAUCCUCUUUAGGUGAGGUGCAUCAGUACCAUAUAUCUCCCACCAUUCAGCUGGAUUAAAAUGUAAAAAGCAUUGUAAGGGCAAGAACAAUUCAUAAGAUUAAAUAUAUGAAUAAACAAAAUAUUAGCGAGGGGAUAACCUGGAUCCAUCAUAGUUCGAGAAUUUCUGG